rnacentral:rRNA from 1 species
CGGAGGGUCCGAACGUUAUCCGGAAUCACUGGGCGUAAAGAGCAUGUAGGUGGUUGAGUAAGUGAGCGAUUAAAGACCGUCGCCUAACGACGGGAGUGUUGCUUAUACUGCUCGACUUGAGAAUAACAGGGGUAGGCGGAACUUUGGGUGUAGGGGUGAAAUCCGUAGAUAUCCAAAGGAACACCGAUGGCGAAGGCAGCCUACUGGGUUAUUUCUGACACUGAGAUGCGAAAGCGUGGGGAGCAAACGGGAUUAGAUACCCCGGUAGUCCUGGCCGUAAACGAUGUCGACUAGAUCGUAGUUCCUUCAACGGUAUUACGGUCGAAGCAAAAGUGCUAAGUCGACCGCCUGGGAAGUACGGUCGCAAGGCUA